rnacentral:rRNA from 1 species
GGUAACACGUAUCCAACCUGCCGAUGACUCGGGGAUAGCCUUUCGAAAGAAAGAUUAAUACCCGAUGGCAUAGUUCUUCCGCAUGGUGGAACAUUAAAGAAUUUCGGUCAUCGAUGGGGAUGCGUUCCAUUAGGUUGUUGGCGGGGUAACGGCCCACCAAGCCUUCGAUGGAUAGGGGUUCUGAGAGGAAGGUCCCCCACAUUGGAACUGAGACACGGUCCAAACUCCUACGGGAGGCAGCAUG